UUUGGAGACUGCAGCUUCAUGCUAGCCAAAAAACAUCUGAUUAGCUAAGCAGGGUCUAGGCCACUUAGUACUUAGAUGGGAGACCACCAGGAAACACGGGACAUUUCCAGAC
rnacentral:rRNA from 1 species